rnacentral:rRNA from 1 species
CCUACGGGGGGCAGCAGUGGGGAAUAUUGGACAAUGGGGGCAACCCUGAUCCAGCCAUGCCGCGUGUGUGAAGAAGGCCCUCGGGUGGUAAAGCACUUUCAGUGAGGAAGAACGCCUGGUGGUUAAUACCCAUCAGGAAAGACAUCACUCACAGAAGAAGCACCGGCUAACUCCGUGCCAGCAGCCGCGGUAAUACGGAGGGUGCGAGCGUUAAUCGGAAUUACUGGGCGUAAAGCGCGCGUAGGUGGCUUGAUAAGCCGGUUGUGAAAGCCCCGGGCUCAACCUGGGAACGGCAUCCGGAACUGUCAAGCUAGAGUGCAGGAGAGGAAGGUAGAAUUCCCGGUGUAGCGGUGAAAUGCGUAGAGAUCGGGAGGAAUACCAGUGGCGAAGGCGGCCUUCUGGACUGACACUGACACUGAGGUGCGAAAGCGUGGGUAGCAAACAGGAUUAGAUACCCCUGUAGUC